GGACAGAAGGCAGAGGACCAGCUUCCAGGCUCGCACUGCACUCUGCCAGAAUCUGUAUUCCAGGGCGAGCCCGCCAAGCCCUCCGCCUGCCUAGGAGGAGCUUCUAAGCAGGAAGGGCAGCCUUCACUAGCUGAACACUCUCUCAAAGGCCUGAAGCAAGGCGCGCGCCAAGGCUGCAGCCAACCCCAGGUCAUAACCCCAGGGGGCUGGGGCGCUGCAAGGGUUCCCCCCCAACCAUCCCAAUCCUCUCUCACAGGCACAGACCAGACAUUUGGCUCCAUGGCACAAACAGCACUCCCAGCAGGAGUAGCUUACAGUGUUUUGUAGCGGAGUUUCACACGGUUUCUCUCUGACAGAGCAGGCUUAGUUAGCAAUUUGGGUAAAAUGAGACAGAGCCGGCAGCAGCUAGCCUGCUGUAAUGUCGUCUUAUUCGGUUUCUUGGUGAUAAUUUUUCAAUCUUACAGUAAUUAGGACAACAGCCCAGGCUUAGUUAGCAAUUUGGGUACAAUGAGGCAGAGCCGGCCACAGCAGACUGCUGUAAUUUCCCUUAAAUGAUUUCUCUGUGAUAAUUUUUCAAUCUUGUAAUAUUUAGACCAAAAAAGCAGGCAUAGAUAGUCAGCAAUUUAGGUACAAUGAGGCAGAGCCGGCCGCAGCCAGGCUGUGUAAUUUCUUCUUAUACAGUAGUAAUUUUUCUCGGUGAUAAUUUUUCAAUCUUAUAAUAUUUAAGCCAAAGAGACAGGCAUGGUUAGCACUUUAGGUACAGUGAGGCAGAGCCGGCCGCAGCCAGGCUGUGUAAUUUCUUCGACGGUUUAUCGGCGAUCGUUUUUCGGUCUUCCGAAGUUCAUUUAUAACAGAAAUUGUUUAUCAGUUUGGGUAGAGUGAGGCAGAGCCUGCCUCCGCCAGUGAUCUGGCCCUCUUAUAGUCUAGCCACCCGGAGGCGGAGCCCUGCUGUCACUAGCUACUCCAGGGCGAGCAAAGCCCAAGGGGGGCGGUGUCUAAGGCGGAGGGUAAGCCCGAGAAGAAGAUGGUUUUAAUUACGUCGUUCUGAAAAGCCGAAACCGAACGCUACUGCGGAAAAGAAAAGGGUAAGCACAUCCACGAGCAAAAUGAGCCGAAGGCCGACCAGACCACUGAGAACCCACAGCGAAGUCCGGAAACACCUAAGCUAGGGGCCGACUAGCUGUGAAAAUCGCUGGCCUUCACUGAAGGAGAAGAAUGUCACUGUGGGGUUGGCAGGGAGAUGGACUCAACUGGAGAUAAUCACACUGAUUGAAAGAAGUCAGCCUCAGAACGGCAGGUCCCGCAGGUCUCUCAGAUGUGGCUCCUCCUACGUGUGCCACACACAUGGAAUACAGCAGGUUCUGAAGACAUGGGGCAUCUGGAGAAACUUCGUGGAGAACAGAGUGGCCUAAAGGGAGAAGAAAGAUGGGCUUAUAACGGCUGAGAGAUCCUGUGGGAUGUGGUCCAUCCAAGCAGGGCAGGCACAGCAGAAGGAAUAAGAGGCAUUCUAGAGCCACAGCUCCCUGUGGGGGUCGGGGAACAAACACCAAGAGUCAGCACUCCUUCCACCAUGGGUGUUGGAGGAUCAAGGUUGGAUUUUAAGGGGAUAGAUGCUGAGCAAGCCUGUGGAGGGUUGGUCUGGCUCCUCCACGUUGCUGUCUUUGUCCUUGUCCACCUCUCCUGGGGACAUUUGUGGCUUCUUCUGACUCUCACUCUGGAAGACAUCUGCACCCCUCUUCAUGGCACUGUUUGGUCUGGGGUGGUAUCUGAGGCAGUCCCAGCAAUCAAGUCCACAGGGAAGAGAAAAUAGUUCACACUCAACAGACCAACCCUCCUCAAAGCAGUGGCUUGGCUCUCCUAAGUAACACAGUGACCAGGACAUGGAAUACCGGGGACUCAGGGCUGGCAAGACAAGUGUCCUUCGAGGUGUGCUGUGAAGAAUAGACAUAUCUUCCACAAAACUGGAUGGAACUGCUCUGUGGACUUGGCUUUACCUGUAUAACACAGAGGACAAUUCCUUGAGCAUCUGUUUCAGAAGUCAGUUAUCUUUUUAUCCUCUAACUUCUAGACCCCUCCCAAUCAUUACACUGCAGGAUGCUGGGAUAUAAGUUCAUAUUCCCAGCAGUUACUUGCAUUGGAUAAGGAGUGAAGAUUCUGAAGGUCCUGGUCCUGAACACCUUUAAUCCCAGUUCUGGGUGGCCGGAUCUCUGAGUUCAAGACCACCCUGGUCUACAGAGAUAGUUCCAGGACAGCCUUGGCUACAUAGGGAAACCCUGUCUUGAAAGACAAACAAAUAAAAAAUGAAAACAAAACAAAAAAGAGUAAAAAUUCUCAAAAGCAAAAUCCUAUCAUCCCUGAUGUGAUUAUCUAUAUCUAUAUAUUGCAUUUAUGAGAAUGACUUACAGGCUGUGGUUCAACUAACUUCACAACAGCUGACUGUGAACUGAAAGACCCAGAGUCCAGAAGUUGCUCAGUCCACCAGGAUGGAUCUCAGCAGGUCUUCAGUAAUUCCUGGAAUCCUAAAGAAGUAUGUGCACAUUCCAAUGGGUGUCCCAUGAAGGGCACAGGCAUUGGAUCCCGUGGAGAUGAAGUUACAGAAGGCUGUGAGGAACCAUCUGAUUCUCAGCCUGAGAAGGAGAGUGCUGAUUCCACUUUCACUGAGACACAUAACCCUGCCUACUUUCAGGCACCUCAGAGUCAGGCUGAGCUGGACCAUGGUGUUUCCCUCCCUUUCGGUGCUUGCACAGACAGUCGAAGCUCAGCUGCUAAAGAUGGGCCAACACAUUCAAGGAAGUGCACUGUCCAGGUCACCAAACCAGUGCCUUCUACGUGGUUUCAGAUCUGAACAGCUGACUUACACCUGGUCCUUUUAUGGAACACAUAAGGAUCUUCUGCGUGGUGGAAUACAACGUGGGGAAAGACGCAUGACAACUUCUCAGGCCCAAACUCAAGGUUUGUGCCAGCCUUGAAGUCUUCAGCAGGUGUGUGGAAACCAAACCCUCCCUCCUCUCCCUGAAGGUGGAAGGGCUUGGCUGGAACCCAGGCCAGUGAGGAUGUCAAACCGCCUCAGGCUUGGACACCCAGCCCUGAAACUGCUGGCGGGCUGUUUCUUCACCACAGGGGCCAGCAGAGGACGCUGUGGAGCCAGCAUUCAGUCCCGCGGCUAUUCCGGAUGCUCAGAGCCUUAACUUGCAGUUUUCCGGACUGUAGACCGGUAUUUCUUGAUUGUCAAGUGUCUGCGAUUCCUCCCACGAGCCGACUUCCGAUCGGCUGCCAGCACGCCCGGGCUGCAGUCCGUCUGCGAUUUCAAACCGCGUCCGUCAUUUUCUUCCUAGGUCCUUUCGUAUUGCGGCCGGAAUCAGGCUCUGCCAGACAGCAUGCGGCGGGAAUCGACUAGAACCACGAACUAUGAUCCAGAAGGCUUUAGCAAAACGUUUGGCGUCCCGGUGCGAGCGCACACCCGGUGCGGUCAGGACGCCACGGUUUCGGUUCGUUUUCCAGUCCUAUACUCUCAGCUCGCCGUCGUUUCUAAUCGGUGGAAAUUCUUCCGAUUUCUUUCGUUAGCGGAUUGUGUGCCGACUGCAGUCGGCAAACUCAUUUUUUUCCGCCCAGCAAGCUUGAAUCCCUGAGCGCCUUCCAGAAGAGACAGGAGAAACCCGAGACUCCGGGAACUCGGAAGGACCCUGCAGGAGAACGGAUCACGGUGGAGAUGAAGCGCGGACCUUGUUCCAGAGCGCCCACCGUGGCGACGAGCUAGGCGACACAGACACAGGAGCACCCGGGAGUGCAGGCCGCCUGUCAAACGGAAUUGGGAGAGAAGACUGGGGGUUUGGCUCGGCCUCCUGGAGCGCAUCCCUGGUCGAGUCCGCUGCGGAGCUCUAGGGCUGCUGUGUACCGGUGUUUUGCAGCAGGAAGCCUUAGCGAGAUGCAGACGCCUUUCAGUGUUUUAGAGUGAGCGCUGUACCAUAAGGAUCGGCUCCUAAUCCUCUUCAUUCACUGCAGCGGGCUGUCUUCAGUACAGCCUGCUGCCUCCAAAAUAAACACACAGCGAUGCACCUUCGA